GAGGGUUGUGACAUACCUCAGGUUGUGAGAGGCUGAAAUGAGAGUUGAUGCUAUGAUACUGUGAAAAGCUGAGAACCCAUUCUGGACUCAGCCUUCUACAGAAAGACCUGUAGUGACUACUGCUAACAGAGACUCUGAGUAUCACCCAGUGUGUAAAGCUUUGUUAUGCAUGAACCAUGUACGAAACAGAAACUGGGAUGCAUUGCUCUCACAGCGAUGAAAACGGACAUUCCACAGCUGGGUCAAUGCAUGCAAAACUUCAGAUUUCCCAGAUAUGUCACAUCAAUGAGACAGUUACUUGCCGAAGAGCCAGCUUGUCUAAGAAGUGCUGAUAAGAAGCAGAUGUCCCAUUUAAUUUAACUGUACAAUAAGAAGGUAAGGAGCCUGAGCACUGCGCAAUACCAGAAUUAAGAAUCAUUUAUGGAGAAAUGGAUCACCACUCCCCUGGGAACUCUCUAAUAGCAGGCUCCCUGUCAGAGGAAAGAGCCUAAGGGCUAGUAGAGUGCUAUAGCAGAGGGACCCUAAGGUAAUCCCUUCCACCUCGAAGUAAGAGAAGACUGUGUCACUAUCACCUAAUGGAGAACGAACAAGUGCAUCUGACUCCAGUCCGUUGCCAAGAGGACACCGGCAAUCAAAACUGAUGUUAUUGCCAUUCCACAUCCUGCUCUGAAACCUGGCAUCCAUCCAACAAGUAACAUAUAAACUACUACUGCUGUAGGCCUGCCAUUACUGUCUCAGUAUCUUUCUCAGAAAAGUGAAUUUACACACAAGGCAUCAAAUAAAAUAUCGACAUUGUCAACUUCUAUUUUUUAUUUCAAUGGUAUUAAUGCACUACUUUUAAAUUGCCAGAUACGAAAAUUGACAUGCCUAAUCCUGCAAAAGCGCAUAAACUAGCCCCUACAGUAAUGAGCCAAACAUAGACACACUUAUAUCUCUGCCCCAAUUUUAUACAUAUGUAAAAUUGAUUUAUUCAUUAAAAUUCAGAAUGAAUCCUUUGUUCAUUUAUAAUACUUAGUUUAAAAAAAUUCAGUAGCAGUAAUAACUGAGGACAGAUCUUACGCACUUUACAAAUGUUAAAGUUAGCUUCAAAACACAUUGCCUUCCAUGAGUAAUAAAUAGCACGGGGUAAAAUUUUGUAACUGCUGAUUUUCAGUGAGACUUGGUGCUUGAAUCACUUUCAAAAACAGAAUUUCAGUGUUUCUGAAAGUCUCAUCUACAAUUUCCGUUCUUAUACUGUGAAAGCAGAUCCAUCUUCCAAGUUAUCCUUGUAGUAACCACAGUCUUUACUUGAUACUGAAACUGUUUGCAAGUUCUCUGAUACAAGAGCAGCAGACUUAAACUGAAAAGGGCACAAGCAUCCUUCUGAAGUGCUUGAAUUAUGCACAAGACAUCUAACACAGACCCUGCCGAAAAGACCAGUUUAGUAACUUGCAUCAUUAUUGCCACACCUCUGGGUAUCAUUUUUGUUGCUGAACAGUAAACAGUACCCUUCCGAUAAACACACACAGAACAGAAAAUUGCUUAGACUGAAGUCACAGCAUUUUCUGUAAAAGGUAGCACAACCGAGAAGGCUCACUUUCUUAUCUUACUUCACGUGCUCAAAUAUAUUUCUCAGGGUAAGGAGCACUACUGAUAGAAAA